rnacentral:tRNA from 4 species
GCCCGGAUGGUCUAGUGGUACGUUCCAAUUAAAUACCCUGUAACACCAUUUUCCCUGCUAACUCAUCUUAGGUAUGAUUCUCCGUUUGGGUCGGAGAGGCCGCGUGUUCGAAUCGCGCUUCGGGCC